rnacentral:rRNA from 1 species
UACGUAGGGUGCAAGCGUUGCCCGGAUUUAUUGGGCGUAAAGGGCGCGUAGGCGGCUCUGCACGUCCGUUGUGAAAUCGCCCGGCUCAACUGGGCGGGGUCAGCGGAUACGGCAGAGCUUGAGCAAGCUAGGGGGCAAUGGAAUUCCCGGUGUAGUGGUGGAAUGCGCAGAUAUCAGGAGGAACACCGAUGGCGAAGGCAGAUCUCUGGGCCGUAACUGACGCUGGAGGAGCGAAAGCAUGGGGAGCGAACAGG